GAAAGAUUUAAUUUAACAGGGAAAUACGAACGAAUACCAAAGGAUGGCUUCACUGAUGACGCGCUCGUCGUUCGCCUUUCGUCUGCGUGCCUGUCGCUGAGUGCAGGUCCCCUCAUUUAUGUGUGUGUGUGUGUCGCUCGCACAGGAAGCCCAUUGCACUGAAGCCGGAGGUCUCGGGUGACUCCCCCUCAUUCAUUUCCACAGCGGCCGCCAUGCUUCACGUCGCGCGCCUCGUCCUCGCUUCUCUUCUUCUCGGCGGAGCUUUGCCGUUAUCCAUGAUCCAAGAUAAAGCGUCCCUCACUAAGAGCUUCGGGAAAACCGCCAGGAUAAGCUGCAGAGCGAGCGGCUCGACGGGUUACAUUCACUGGUAUCGCCAAAAAGACAACGAGGACCUGCGGAGAGCCUUUUAUGUGGACACGAGCAACGGACAAGUGACGUAUGACGAAGGGACGGACAGAAACAGAUUCAAAGCUGAUGACAGCGGCAAAGUCCUGGUGAUAGACAAAGUAGAGGAAAGUGACACCGCCGUGUAUUACUGCGCCGCAUGGGACAGUCACAAUGACUGCCACCUCGGGGCCCUCCGCACAAAAACAACGAGAGGCGACAUUCUGCGCAAUAAAAAUUCCGCUCAGGAGCAAUGAAGCAGCGUCGCCUGUCACC